UUAAGCAUAUUAAUAAGCGGAGGAAAAGAAACUAACAAGGAUUCCCUCAGUAACGGCGAGUGAAGCGGGAAGAGCUCAAAUUUGAAAUCUCCGGUGCUUGCAUCGGCGAGUUGUAGUUGCGAGAAGCACUUUCUAGGUGGAUCGGCGGUGCCUAAGUUGCUUGGAACAGCACGUCGCAGAGGGUGACAACCCCGUCUGUGGCGCCGCCGGCCGCUGACGAUGUGCUUUCGAAGAGUCGGGUUGUUUGGGAAUGCAGCCCAAAAUGGGUGGUAAACUCCAUCUAAAGCUAAAUACUGGCGUGAGACCGAUAGCGAACAAGUACCGUGAGGGAAAGAUGAAAAGAACUUUGAAAAGAGAGUUAAAAAGUACGUGAAACCGUCGGAAGGGAAACGAAUGGACUCAGCAAUGCGCCCUCUGAGAUUCAGCCGCGUGGGUGGCGUCGGCGCGGGGUUUGCGGAUCUGAAUGGACCGCGGCCCGGCGCUCGCUGCUCCCCGCCGUCGCACUUCUCUGGGGCGCGCGUCAACGUGGGUUGGGACUGGGUCUGAAAGGUGCCGGGAAGGUAGGUGUGGGCCUUCGGGUCCGUUCUGUUACAGCCCGGUUCUCUCAUGGCUCGGGCCCGACCGAGGAGCAGACAGGGCAUGCCUCCUGUGGCUAGGGUCCCGUCCUUCCGGCCGGCUGUCCAGUGUGGUGGACUGCUUGCAGUGCUCUGCGACGGCUGCCGGUCGUUGGGGUGGUGAUCUCGUACCAUGCCCUUGGGAUGUUGGCGG
rnacentral:rRNA from 1 species